CCCUCGGUAGCUCAGUUGGAAGAGCGUGGGACUGUAAUUGGUAAAGCUUAGUAACAUAAGCACAUCCUCAUCCCAAGGCCACUGGUUCGAUCCCGGUCUGAGGGA